ACACUCAUGUUUUUCUCCAUAUCGUAUAAAUCUUUCGCCUUUUACUAAAGAUUUCCGUGGGGAGAAACACAAUGAGUCUUAAGUAAUUUUUUGAUGCCCCGCCCUAUUGUGGGGU